GACGAACGCUGGCGGCGUGCUUAACACAUGCAAGUCGAACGGAAAGGCCCUGCUUGCAGGGUGCUCGAGUGGCGAACGGGUGAGUAACACGUGGGUGAUCUGCCCCUUAUUUUGGGAUAAGCCUGGGAAACUGGGUCUAAUACUGGAUAGGACCAUGCUGUAGGUGGUGUGGUGGAAAGAUUAGUUUCGGUAAGGGAUGAGCUCGCGGCCUAUCAGCUUGUUGGUGGGGUAAUGGCCUACCAAGGCGUCGACGGGUAGCCGACCUGAGAGGGUGGACGGCCACAUUGGGACUGAGAUACGGCCCAGACUCCUACGGGAGGCAGCAGUGGGGAAUAUUGCACAAUGGGCGCAAGCCUGAUGCAGCGACGCCGCGUGGGGGAUGACGGCCUUCGGGUUGUAAACUCCUUUCAGCCAUGACGAAGCCCUUGUGGUGACGGUAGUGGUAGAAGAAGCACCGGCUAACUACGUG
rnacentral:rRNA from 1 species